GAUGAACGCUGACAGAAUGCUUAACACGUGCAAGUCAACUUGAACUUCGGUUUGGGUGGCGGACGGGUGAGUAACGCGUAAAGAACUUGCCUCACAGAUAGGGACAACAUUUGGAAACGAAUGCUAAUACCUGAUAUUAUGAUUAUAUGGCAUCGUAUAAUUAUGACAGCUAUAUGCGCUGUGAGAGAGCUUUGCGUCCCAUUAGCUAGUUGGAGAGGUAACGGCUCACCAAGGCGAUGAUGGGUAGCCGGCCUGAGAGGGUGAUCGGCCACAAGGGGACGGAGACACGGCCCUUACUCCUACGGGAGGCAGCAGUGGGGAAUAUUGGACAAUGGACCAAGAGUCUGAUCCAGCAAUUCUGUGUGCAAGAUGAAGUUUUUCGGAAUGUAAAGUGCUUUCAGUUGGGAAGAAAAAAAUGACGGUACCAACAGAAGAAGUGACGGCUAAAUACGUG
rnacentral:rRNA from 1 species